rnacentral:rRNA from 1 species
UACAGAGGUGGCAAGCGUUGUUCGGAAUUACUGGGCGUAAAGGGCGCGUAGGCGGCCUACUAAGUCAGACGUGAAAUCCCCCGGCUUAACCUGGGAACUGCGUCUGAUACUGGAGGGCUUGAGUGCGGGAGAGGGAUGUGGAAUUCCAGGUGUAGCGGUGAAAUGCGUAGAUAUCUGGAGGAACACCGGUGGCGAAGGCGGCAUCCUGGACCGACACUGACGCUGAGGCGCGAAAGCUAGGGUAGCAAACGGG